GUGUAUGUUGGCUGUAGUAGAUUCAUUGUAGGAAUAGGAUGUACACCUAGAUGGGAUCUACUGAUCUUAGUUGAAAAGGAGAAGUCCUAUGUGAUUCGCGAGAUUGAGUUCAGAAAGUCUUUGACCAAAGCAAGUGUGAAUACUGAAAAAAAAAAUUUCAUAAAAAUUCAUGAAUGAACUCAAGUCGAGCCAAUCUUAUAUAUGAUAGAUGAUAGGGUUUGACAAAUUUUUCAUAACCUCCGUCUUGUCAGGACUUAUGAUAAAAAAACUGAAUCACACAGUGACUACACCUAGAGGUUUAUUACUUUCAUUCUACUGGAUUACCAUU
rnacentral:lncRNA from 1 species